rnacentral:lncRNA from 1 species
UCAAAUACUGAUGAAACCGAAAGAUAGUUAUUAAAACAAAAAUAAUAAUUCAUAAUACUCAUUACAUUGUCAAAAUCCAAAUUUAAUUAAAACAAGGUAACAGUGGAGCGUCUAAGACAUCAAAUCAAAACUGAAAGGAAAGCCUCGCGAACAAGCAAGGCAUACCGACCAGAACUGAAGAAGCGGAAACACUCAACAAAGUCCAGAAACUAAGAACCUGAAAUAAUAUUAAAAAUGAGAGGUGAGUUCAACCAACUCAGUGAGGGAAUAACAUUUAAUAUACAUUUCAUAUAUUUCAGAUAUUAUUUGCAAGAUGAUUUAUCUUGAUAUACAUAUACAUAUACAUAUACAUAUACUUACUAAACAUAUUAUCAUAACGUACAUAUUAUCAUAACGUAGUGGAUUACAUGUCAGAGACAGAUGACACCCGAAGGUGACCAGAUGACACCCGUCGGUGACCAGAUGACACCCGUCGGUGACCACUGUGGGAUGAUCAAUCACCACAGGCUGAUGCCUCUCUCACCAGCUAGGUAUACAGAAUACUAUGUGCACACAGGCUAACUAUUCUCCGUUAGCAUGGAGUACUGACAAGUCCCAUAUCAAGGCAUAACAGAUAUUCACAUAAUCAUCAAAGAAACGUAUAUCAUAUCAAAUAGAAUUUACUUUAACAGAUUGCGAGUGCAAAUUCAAGAAUAAAUGAGUACUCGGAAAAUAAAGCAACAUAUAUAAAUAUUCAAGAAAUUUACUAGUUGUACUCAUUGUAUAAUCAACAUACAUAUUUAUUUAUAUUAUAUGCAUAUUAAAGAUUAUUCCACUCACCCGGAAAAUAUAGAACUAAAAGGAAUGUCGGACGAAAGACCCGAAAAUCCUAUUAAGGAUCGUUAGGAGAACCUACAAUAAAUAUAUGAAAUAUACUCAAAAACAAAUCAAACAAAAGAUCCCAAUGCAUAAAAUAAACCGGGCUUAAUCUCCCAAGUUUAGGGACUAAAACGACAAUUUUCCAAAAUAGGGACCAAAACGUAAUUUUACCAAAAUUUGAGGACCGAACUGUAAAUAUAUAACCAUACUGAAAUUUAUCCAUAAUUAAUCCUCAAUUCUGUCCAGGAUAUAUCAUUAUGCUCCAAGGACCAUUCUGGAACUUUACCAAAUUUUUAGGGUCAAAUUAUACUUUUUGUCAAAUUGGAGGACCAAACUGAAAAUAUCAUAUAUUCCUGAUUAUACUGAAAUUUUGCCCUUAAAUCAUCCUCAGUUCUGUUCAGAACCUCAAUUUAUGCCCCAGGGAUCAAUCUGUAAAAUUUCCAAAGUUCGGGGACUAAACUGCAAUUUCCGUAAAUUGAGGGACCAAACUGAAUUUUCAUCAUCUUCAACCUCAAACCCAUAAUUUCAACAGAUCACCUACUGUUAGUUCCAGAUUUAUACCUCAACUUCAUCAUUCAAUUCAACCAUAACUAAAAAUCAUCAUAUUUCUCUACAAUCUCUCCAAUUCAACUAAAUAAUCAAAUACCCACAUCAAUCAACCCUUUAAUUCAAACUAAUUCAUCAAUAAACUCAAAAUUCAAAACUCUAAAAUUAAUCAAAAACCAAAAUUUAAAGCUAAAGAAAACAUAUUAUACAUAUUCAAGCAUAAUUCUUACCCUUUUACUUGUUUUCUCCAACCUUUUCUUUUUUUCCCUUAUUUUCCCCUCUUUUCUCUUCUUCUUCUUCUUCCUCUCUUCUCUCCUGCCGGUUCUCUCUC